rnacentral:rRNA from 1 species
GCAUAUCAAUAAGCGGAGGAAAAGAAACCAACAGGGAUUACCUCAGUAACGGCGAGUGAAGCGGUAACAGCUCAAAUUUGAAAGCUGGCCCCUCCGGGGCCCGCGUUGUAAUUUGUAGAGGAUGCUUCGGGCGCGGCCCCGGUCUAAGUUCCUUGGAACAGGACGUCAUGGAGGGUGAGAAUCCCGUAUGUGACUGGGUGCCUGUGCCCGUGUGAAGCUCCUUCGACGAGUCGAGUUGUUUGGGAAUGCAGCUCAAAAUGGGUGGUAUAUUUCAUCUAAAGCUAAAUAUUGGCCAGAGACCGAUAGCGCACAAGUAGAGUGAUCGAAAGAUGAAAAGCACUUUGGAAAGAGAGUUAAACAGUACGUGAAAUUGUUGAAAGGGAAGCGCUUGCAACCAGACUUGCGCGCGGGCGAUCAUCCGGGCUUCUGCCCGGUGCACUCGCCCGCGCCCAGGCCAGCAUCGGUUUCGGCGGUGGGACAAAGGCCGGGGGAACGUAGCUCCUCUCGGGGAGUGUUAUAGCCCUCGGCGCCAUGCCGCCUGCCGGGACCGAGGACCGCGCUUCGGCUAGGAUGCUGGCGUAAUGGUUGCAAGCGACCCGUCUUGAAACACGGACCAAGGAGUCUAACAUCUGUGCGAGUGUUUGGGUGUCAAACCCAUGCGCGUAAUGAAAGUGAACGGAGGUGAGAACCCUUCAGGGUGCAUCAUCGACCGAUCCUGAUGUCUUCGGAUGGAUUUGAGUAAGAGCAUAGCUGUUGGGACCCGAAAGAUGGUGAACUAUGCGUGAAUAGGGUGAAGCCAGAGGAAACUCUGGUGGAGGCUCGCAGCGGUUCUGACGUGCAAAUCGAUCGUCAAAUUUGCGUAUAGGGGCGAAAGACUAAUCGAACCAUCUAGUAGCUGGUUCCUGCCGAAGUU